UACGACGGGUGCAAGCGUGAAUCGGAAUUACUGGGCGUAAAGCGCGCGUAGGUGGUUCGUUAAGUUGGAUGUGAAAGCCCCGGGCUCAACCUGGGAACUGCAUCCAAAACUGGCGAGCUAGAGUACGGUAGAGGGUGGUGGAAUUUCCUGUGUAGCGGUGAAAUGCGUAGAUAUAGGAAGGAACACCAGUGGCGAAGGCGACCACCUGGACUGAUAAUGACACUGAGGUGAGCAAGCGGGGGGAGAACACAGGAGUAGAUACCCGCGUAGUCC
rnacentral:rRNA from 1 species